rnacentral:rRNA from 1 species
UACAGAGGGGGCAAGCGUUGUUCGGAAUUACUGGGCGUAAAGGGCGCGUAGGCGGCCUGCUAAGUCGAACGUGAAAUCCCUGGGCUCAACCCAGGAACUGCGUCCGAUACUGGUUGGCUUGAAUCCGGGAGAGGGAUGUGGAAUUCCAGGUGUAGCGGUGAAAUGCGUAGAUAUCGGGAGGAACACCAGUGGCGAAGGCGGUUGCCUGGGGCUUUGCUGACGCUGAUGCGCGAAAGCGUGGGGAGCGAUCCGG